GAUCCAGUCGCCUGCUGAGGCUAGGCUGCACUUCUGCCCAUGGGUGCCACCAGACAUCUUCAUGCAGUGUCCUGUUCAAUCUGUGUUCAGCUGCUACAUUCAACUACUUUCCCAAAGCGAAAAAGUAAAGCUACUGUAUGUAUGACUCCUGUUUCUAUGGAAAGAAGAACCUGGGUCUACUAGUUCCGUGUUCUUGAUGAAGGUGGUUCUCCUCUCUUCUUGGUCAGCCCACCUCUUCAGAAACCCAGAGAGAUUUCUGAGGAGGUUGGCAGCUUGAACCUGGAGCCUGAACCAAAGAAGCUGUCUCUUUGACCCCCUCCCCAUCUCCCUCCUGUCUGCCCCAGGCCCGGGAUCCGGGCUAUCCAGGGUUCUGGGGAAAGGAGAGCCUCUGGGACCCUCCCUCGGCACUGCUGAGACCUCUAAGUCUCCAUGUUCUGGGAGGCAUUAGGGGGUUAAUUUUCUCUGACAUUUUUUCACCCUAUUAGAUGCACCAGUUCAGCUGGAGGGUAAACAGAGAGCACUGGUCUCUUUUUGAUGUCCUGGGAGCUUGUGUGUGUUUGUUGUGUUUGUUGCCUGUCACCAACACAGAUGGUGAAAUGGGCCAGAUGUAAAGGAUGACAGCGGCCACAAGAUGCCGGGGAGCUUUGCUGGGGGUUGGAUGACCACACACUUCAUUCCACAUCUGAACCACUCUCACCCGCAAGUCAGAGUAUUAAGCAGAGAACCCCCCUGCGCCCCCAGAGAGCUGGAGACGUUUUCUGGCAGAGAAGCCCAGAGCACCGGCAAGCUGCUUCGAGAAGUUCCUCUGUGUCUUCCCAGUCUCCACCCUGGGCGAGUCUGUGGCUGAGAAGCUGGCCUGCUCCAGCUGUAGGGGAGGCAAGUUCUAAACCUCAGGUGCCCCCGUCACCCCUGCCCAGUGAUCAGAUCAGUGCUCUGUGGCUUCUCCCCCAACUAACAUCUCCCCUGACCACACAAGGUGAGUUUUAAUCCCGAUUUUCUGAUCCCAUACAAAUGGGACAUCCAGGGAGGUUGAGCCUGUAAUUCACAGGGACAUGGAAAGCACAGACAAAAUGAUAGAAGUGUCCUGCUUCAAUGGUUCCAAUUUGCUGAGAAAAGGCAGUCAGUGAUUUUUUUUUUUCCCAUGGUGAGCUGGGGGUGGGCAGGGACAGGAGUGUCCAACUCCUCUGACUCCUUUAGUGGGAAUGAGAAGUUCACAUGCAGCACCGGGUUAUCCAGCUGACCCCUCCUCCUUCCCUGCGCUUCGGGCUCUACUCUAGGGGGGCUAAGAAAGGCUGGGGGGGGGGGGCAGAGGGAUGGUGCAAACUCAUUUCUGCUUGUGUCAAUGCCCCUGGACCAGCAGGGAGAACGGACAGAUAAUGGCCAACUCUCACCCUUUCCCGGGGCGCCCACAAGUUGCAGUUUCCAGGGAUAGUCCCAGGGCAGGCCUGUUGUAGAUCAAUUAACAACUUACCUUUUUUUUUUUUUUUAUUUUGUUUAUUUAUUUAUUUUGAGAGAGAGAGAGAGAGAGACAGAGAGAGGCAGAGAAAGAGGGAAAGAGGGAGAAUCUCAAGCAUGAUCCACGCUGUCAGCACAGAGCCCAACGUGGGUUUGAACUCAUGAAACUGUGAGAUCAUGACCUGAGCCAAAAUCAAGAGUCAGCUGCUUAACUGACUGAGCCACCCAGGGGCCCCAACAACUUAUCUUAAGCGCUCCCUUUUUACUUUCAAAGUGGCCCGGUUUGUAUCUUAUGGUUCCCCUAUCCAUUCCCCAUAGUGAAUUUGCAGAGAACUUGCUGCUAAGUCAAACACAACCCUGACUACAUUUUUUUCUGAGAAGCAAGAACGAGGGAGAAAGAGGGAGGCACUUUAGAUUACUGGACUGGGUUGACUCUUGUGUGGAACCCACCCCACCCAUCCCAGGUUCCCGCCUACACAAUAUGUGGAAUCGUGAUUAUGUGGGAUCGAGGUUGUGGGAACAUGAAACCAACAGCAAGAGACAAAAAUUAAGAUGGUUUGUUGGAUCACAAACUACAAAACAUAAAAAAUCUCCUAGAGAUCAUAAUGUUAAUAUAUUGCCUUUUUAAAUUUAAUAUAACUCAAAAUAGUAGAUUGCCUCUAUGAAUGUACCACACUAUGGAUUUUAAUUUUUGUAUUAACUUACAUAGAAAUUCAGGGUAAAUUCGGUGGGGAGCUGGGGUGGUAAUGCUUGGGUGAAGGGAGAGAGAGGUAAUAAUACAUUUUGCAGUUGUUUUUUGUUUUUGUUUUUGUUUUUAAGGCUGAGCAUCAGGAUCUCAUUUUUAAAUUAUACGUCACUGGGCACAAAUAUAUUCAAUAUCCUUUUGGCUUUGAAAUCUAUUUUAAUCUAGCAACUGCACUUCUGGGAAUUUAUCUUACAGAACUAUUGGAACAAGUGACCCAGAGUGUUUGUAGUGGCUAAACUCAGAAGCAACCAAUGGCUCAAAAACAGGUAACUUGUUAAACAAAUGAAGGCAAUCCAUACAAAGAAACAGUAGGACUAUGUAGGUCCCCCACAGAAUUAUUCUCACAAACGAGUGUUCAAUUAUGAUAGCAUGUUUCCACUUCUGUAAACAAACAAGCAAACAUAUUACGGCAAAGAAGAAAGUCUGAGGCUAUUUGGAAUAUGUACCAAAUAGGGAUUGCCUUUAAGGAGGGAGACAGUAUGCAGUAAAUUUUCAUUUUUCAUCUUAUUCUUUUUUCUUAUUGCUUAAAUGUUUUAUAGCAAAUAUAACUUUCACAGUUUAUGUAGAAAAAUAUAUGUAUAUAUACAAGUACGUGUACAAGAGUAAUCUUAAAACUUUAUAGUAUGCUUUUUAGGAAAACAAAACUACGAAAGGAAAUGCAUUUGAUACUGUGUUUGAACUGGUCUGACAAGCCCUUCUGAUAAGACGCACAGCCCAGGGAAGGCCUGGAUACCAUGGAAAAAAUGGUCACUGUCAGGACUUCCUGUCCUGAUCCCACUCCAGCUCGAUCCUACUCUCAUUUCCUUCUGAAGGGGAGCCAUGGGACCUCUUUGUUCCCCACUGUUGAGGGAAGCUAACCUCUUCCCUGAGCUUGCCAUGAAGGUGAUUCACCCCAUCCUUCACUCAGGCCAGGGAGAAGAAAAAGAUAACAGUUUUUGGCAAUUCAGUCUGUUAGAAAAGGGGGUCUAGGGCUCACCCCUCUUCCAGUCAACUGCAGGCCAAGGAUGGAUGCAUCAAAGAGAAGCCAAAGACAAAGCAAUUCUGGACUGCAGCUGGCAAAGGGCUUAACUCUGGGCAAGCUGGGAGUCGACAAGUUACAUUUUUGCCCAGAUCAGACAAUGAUCUUGACACAAGGGUAAAAGAUGGUCUGACUCUGGCUUCCCAACAUAUUCUGUCUUUGGACAUCAAAUGUAUAAAACUGAGCUACUCACUCACCUCAGUUCCAGACACUGACUUUUCUCCUAUAAUUAAAGGGGUACAUGUGUCUGUCAGUCUUUCUGUUGGGUAGCCUGUGUGUGUGUGUGUGUGGGGGGGGGGGGUGUUUAAAGAUCACCUGGGGUACCUAUGGAGGCCAUCUGGCUCUGUGGAGGAAGAAGGGUCCAUGCCUAGACACAGGAGACUGGGCAUGACACAACCUGGGUCACUCAUGAGUGCCUGUGAGACAUUCCAUGGGCCCUCAGGAAGCAAAAAAGAAGGGGCUGGGGUUCCAGAGAUCAUAAAGGAAGCUGAGUCAACUUUGCCUACAGCCAAAGAAGCAACUGCUUGCAAGGUGUAUUUGAGUGUUAUAAGGAAAGUCAUUGAGCCUCAAAAUAUUUCCCCUAUUAUCCUGUCAGAGUUGCUGAAUUCAACCCGUAGAGAUUCAUUCCUUUUGAUUAAGACUCUAUGGAUGUUCCAUUGCAAACUGAUUUUCCCAGCUUCUUUCCAAUCCAGAAGACAUUGGUUAGAAAACAAACACACUUGAAGUGUCUACUUGAGGCAAGUAGAAAGUACCCAGAACUCAGAAGCUCAGCAUCAAGAAAAGUAGACUUAUGUGAGUUCCAAGCAAAGAGAGAAAGUUACCAAAUGUUUUCAGUUUGGGCUAAGGUGAAGCAUGCAUACAGCUGGAUUAGACAAAUCUAACUGCAGAAGCCUUGUGAUUAUGCUUUUAGUGUUUCUCUUUUUCAUUUUUAUUUAUUUUUUAAUAUUUUAAAUGUAGCUCAGAGCCUGGAGCCUGUUUCGGAUUCUGUGUCUCCCUCUCUCUGACCCUCCCCGGUUCAUGCUGUGUCUCUCUCUGUCUCAAAAAUAAAUAAACGUUAAAAAAAAAAAAUAAAAAAAAAAAAACGAUUGGAUGCUUAACCGACUGAGCCACCCAGGUGCCCCAAGAAUUUCUAUUUUUGUAAAAAAAUACUUCAUAUACACACAAAUGUGUCUGCCACCAGC